rnacentral:rRNA from 2 species
UGGCGAACGGGUGAGUAACACGUGAGUAACCUGCCCACAACUUUGGGAUAACGCUAGGAAACUGGUGCUAAUACUGGAUAUGUGCUCCUGCUGCAUGGUGGGGGUUGGAAAGCUCCGGCGGUUGUGGAUGGACUCGCGGCCUAUCAGCUUGUUGGUGGGGUAGUGGCCUACCAAGGCGGCGACGGGUAGCCGGCCUGAGAGGGUGACCGGCCACAUUGGGACUGAGAUACGGCCCAG